GAACGCUAGCUACAGGCUUAACACAUGCAAGUCGAGGGGCAUCAGGAAGAAAGCUUGCUUUCUUUGCUGGCGACCGGCGCACGGGUGAGUAACACGUAUCCAACCUGCCCUUUACUCGGGGAUAGCCUUUCGAAAGAAAGAUUAAUACCCGAUGGCAUAAUGAUUCCGCAUGGUUUCAUUAUUAAAGGAUUCCGGUAAAGGAUGGGGAUGCGUUCCAUUAGGUUGUUGGUGAGGUAACGGCUCACCAAGCCUUCGAUGGAUAGGGGUUCUGAGAGGAAGGUCCCCCACAUUGGAACUGAGACACGGUCCAAACUCCUACGGGAGGCAGCAGUGAGGAAUAUUGGUCAAUGGGCGCUAGCCUGAACCAGCCAAGUAGCGUGAAGGAUGAAGGCUCUAUGGGUCGUAAACUUCUUUUAUAUAAGAAUAAAGUGCAGUAUGUAUACUGUUUUGUAUGUAUUAUAUGAAUAAGGAUCGGCUAACUCCGUGCCAGCAGCCGCGGUAAUACGGAGGAUCCGAGCGUUAUCCGGAUUUAUUGGGUUUAAAGGGAGCGUAGGUGGACUGGUAAGUCAGUUGUGAAAGUUUGCGGCUCAACCGUAAAAUUGCAGUUGAUACUGUCAGUCUUGAGUACAGUAGAGGUGGGCGGAAUUCGUGGUGUAGCGGUGAAAUGCUUAGAUAUCACGAAGAACUCCGAUUGCGAAGGCAGCUCACUGGACUGCAACUGACACUGAUGCUCGAAAGUGUGGGUAUCAAACAGGAUUAGAUACCCUGGUAGUCCACACAGUAAACGAUGAAUACUCGCUGUUUGCGAUAUACAGUAAGCGGCCAAGCGAAAGCAUUAAGUAUUCCACCUGGGGAGUACGCCGGCAACGGUGAAACUCAAAGGAAUUGACGGGGGCCCGCACAAGCGGAGGAACAUGUGGUUUAAUUCGAUGAUACGCGAGGAACCUUACCCGGGCUUAAAUUGCAGUGGAAUGAUGUGGAAACAUGUCAGUGAGCAAUCACCGCUGUGAAGGUGCUGCAUGGUUGUCGUCAGCUCGUGCCGUGAGGUGUCGGCUUAAGUGCCAUAACGAGCGCAACCCUUAUCUUUAGUUACUAACAGGUUAUGCUGAGGACUCUAGAGAGACUGCCGUCGUAAGAUGUGAGGAAGGUGAGGAUGACGUCAAAUCAGCACGGCCCUUACGUCCGGGGCUACACACGUGUUACAAUGGGGGGUACAGAAGGCAGCUAGCGGGUGACCGUAUGCUAAUCCCAAAAGCCUCUCUCAGUUCGGAUCGAAGUCUGCAACCCGACUUCGUGAAGCUGGAUUCGCUAGUAAUCGCGCAUCAGCCACGGCGCGGUGAAUACGUUCCCGGGCCUUGUACACACCGCCCGUCAAGCCAUGGGAGCCGGGGGUACCUGAAGUACGUAACCGCAAGGAUCGUCCUAGGGUAAAACUGGUGACUGGGGCUAAGUC
rnacentral:rRNA from 1 species